UCUCGGCUUAUCACCGGCAGUCUCAUUAGAGUGCCCAACUGAAUGUAGCAACUAAUGACAAGGGUUGCGCUCGUUGCGGGACUUAACCCAACACCUCACGGCACGAGCUGACGACAGCCAUGCAGCACCUAGUUUCGUGCUAUUGCUAGCUGCCAUGUUUCCACAGCAUUCACUAACUUUCAAGCCCAGGUAAGGUUCCUCGCGUAUCAUCGAAUUAAACCACAUGCUCCUCCGCUUGUGCGGGCCCCCGUCAAUUCCUUUGAGUUUCAAUCUUGCGAUCGUACUUCCCAGGCGGAAUGCUUAAAGCGUUAGCUGCGCCACUAGUGAGUAAACCCACUAACGGCUGGCAUUCAUCGUUUACGGCGUGGACUAC
rnacentral:misc_RNA from 1 species